UUGACGGUACCCUACUAGAAAGGAGCCGCUAACUUCGUGCCAGAAGCGUCGGUAAUACGGGGGCUCCAAGCGUUAUCCGGUGUUAUUGGGCGUAAAGAGUCGUGUAGUGGUUGGGUAAGUUAUCUUUCAAUAUCUUUGCUUAACAAGAGGAGGGGAUAUACUGCUCGACUAGAAUUUCUCAGGAGAUCGGACUGAGGGAGGAGUAGUGAAAUGCGUUGAUACCCUCGGGAACACCAGUGGCGUAGGCGGAUCUCUGGGAGAAGAUUGACACUGAGACACGAAAGCUAGGGGAGCGAAGCAGAUUAGAGACCUGCGUAGUCCUAGCCGUAAACGCAUGCUUGCUAGCUGCAUGAAUCUACCUUCGGGUGGUAUCGUGUGGCGAAGGUAACCCGUUAAGCAGGCCGCCUGGAAAGUACGGCCGCAAGGCUGAAAUUCAAAGGAAUUGGCGGGGAGGCACACAACCAGUGGAACAUGUGGUUUAAUUCGAGACUAACCGAAGAACCUCACCAGGGUUUGACAUGUAGCUGCACGUCUUAAGAAAUUAAGACUCUCUUGAAGGUGCUACACAGGUGCUGCAUGGCUGUCGUCAGCUCGUUCCGUGAGGAGUGCCCUUAAGUGGGACAACGAGCGCAACCCCUAUUACAUGUUAGAAAUGUCAUGUAAGACUGCCUUGCCAUUUGGCGGGGAGGAAGGAGGGGCAGACGUCAAGUCCGCAUGGUCCUUAUGCCCUGGGCUACACACAUGUUACAAUGAGUACGGCAAUGAGUCUGUCGCGAGCACGUAAGUGUAAGCUAAUCUCUUAAAUGUACUCUCAGUGGGGAUUGAGGUCUGCAACUCGACCUCAUGAACACGGAAUUGGUAGUAAUCGCGGGUCAGCUAUACCGCGGUGAAUACGUUCUUGCCUCUUGCACACACCGCCCGUCAAACCAGCAAAGU
rnacentral:rRNA from 1 species